UACAGGGGGGGCAAGCGUUGUUCGGAAUUACUGGGCGUAAAGGGCCAGUAGGCGGCCAACUAAGUCACACGUGAAAUCCCCAGGCUUAACCUGGGAACUGCGUGUGAUACUGGAUGGCUUGAAUUCGGGAGAGGGAUGCAGAAUUCCAGGUGUAGCGGUGAAAUGCGUAGAUAUCAGGAGGAACACCGGUGGCGAAAGCGGCUCUCUGGACCACAACUGACGCUGAGGCGCGAAAGCUAGGGGAGCAAACAGG
rnacentral:rRNA from 1 species